UACGGAGGGGGCUAGCGUUGUUCGGAAUUACUGGGCGUAAAGCGCGCGUAGGCGGACCUGCAAGUCGGUGGUGAAAGCCCGAGGCUUAACCUCGGAACUGCCUUCGAUACUGCGGGUCUCGAGUCCGGGAGAGGUGAGUGGAAUUCCUAGUGUAGAGGUGAAAUUCGUAGAUAUUAGGAAGAACACCAGUGGCGAAGGCGGCUCACUGGCCCGGUACUGACGCUGAGGCGCGAAAGCGUGGGGAGCAAACAGG
rnacentral:rRNA from 1 species